rnacentral:lncRNA from 1 species
AUCGCGGGGGGCGGGGCGUCGCGGGCACAGCGUGAGGGCCGCCGUUGCUGGAGUUCAGCUUAGGGAAGGAGGACUCUGAGGAGGCCCCGAGCGGCGGAGCGCUUCGGGGGAGGCGCCCGCGCAGACGCGAGGCCCAUAGCCAGGACCACCACCUAGCUGUUCUACAGUCUGGGGACGACGGUUUAAAAAUUUAUGCCUUGCAUGCGAUGUGCAGUGGGUGAUGGAAGAACGUCUACAUGGCUUUAAAAUUGGAUUUAAAAGGCAAAUAUUUUAAAUGAAGGAAAACCCAAGAAGUUUACUUGAUUCCUUAUCUUCCAGGAUGCGACUUUUGUUUAUUUAUUUAUUUUAUUUUGAUGGAGUCUCGCUGCCGUCGCGCAGGCUGGAGUGCAGUGACGCGAUCUUGACCCGGGAACCUCCACCUCCCGGGUUCAAGCGAUUCUCCUUCCUCAACCACCCGAGUAGCUGGGAUUACAGGCGUGUGCCACCAUGCCCGGCUAAUUUUUGUGUUUUUAGUAGAGACCGGGGAAGGUAUGGGCCCUCUUUUGAGAAAAAUGCAGAGUGACACUGAAUUUUGUAACUACAUCAGGAGGCUCUUGAACCUUCUGCAGCUCACUCGUGGAGUUUGUAGAGAUGCGUAAUAAUCCGAAGUGUUAAGGAAGAAGGUUCUGUUGAGAAAAAGUUGGAGGGCUGAAAGGGAUGCCUUUCGCUAUUUCGACAUGUGUGGCUGUACCCCAGAGUGCCCUGGCUAACACGCAAAACCAUGAAUUAGGCGGCUUGGCGAGGCUCAGUGGAGGCUGGGGCCGAGAGUCAUGUCAAAGUUUGUGGGGUUAACCUGCACCCAGUGACAGUCAUGGCGAAGUUUGUGAGGUUAACUCGCACCCAGUAACGCUGUUCCAAUGCAAGGUGUGUAUUUGGUGUCAUCCACGGGAAGAGGAAACAGCAAAUUUUCUCAUGGCCUUGGCAGUUCCACAUGAUGGACAUUUCAUAUCUGCAGUUUUCUUCGCAUGAGAUGGCUUUUUUGCACAAAAACACUGGAAUCCAGUGAGCAAGAAUGAUAGAAUGCAAGAUGGAUUUCCACAUGAGGAAGUGUCACGAACAAGCGUUUUGCAUCUCUGUCAGCUGGAUUCCCCCAUGUGUACGUAUGUGAGAACAUGCCGUGUUUCCUGUCUGUAAUGGUAGAGGCAGCCCUGAUACUGGAUUUUCACCUGAGGAUGGAUAGAUCUUCAGGGUUCAAGUGGGUUUGCAUCUGGACUUUAGGGUGGCCCUGUAGGCCCUGUGUGAGAAGCCCCCUUCCCAGUGAACUUUCCCUUGUGUGCCCGCGUGGACAGCCAACAGGGGGAGCAGUGCGAGCGUGAAGGCAGACAGUGGCCUGGCCCAGUCUGAUGGUAAGUGGGCCAGAGGCAGUGAGUACCAUUUCUUGAUCUGACUACUCAAGACAGGCGCUUCCCUAGGUACUUUCACACCUCAUUGCGAGGUACGUGUUGUUCCCAUUUUACAGGUGCAGAAGCUGAGCUGCAGAGGCGUUAGGUACCUGCCUCAUAAGUGGUAGAGACUCCAGUGUCACCCUGCCCCUCACGUUCGGAGCCCCCGAGGGAGGGUCUGCCGGGCAGCUCAGCCCAGCACUCUGUAAGGAAAUCUUCAGUGCCACUGCCCAGGAUGUCUUCCCGGGGAUUGGGCCUGAAUGUCUUGACCAUGCCGUGCUGGAGGUAGGAGGGGUGUCUUCAUAUGGAAGAACUGUACAUAUUUCUUUGGCAGAUGGCUGAACUCUGUGACCCCGGGGCCUGUUUCAGCCUCCUGCUGUCAGAAAGCAGCUGUUUGGGAAGAGGCUGUGAUUCGGCCUUGUUUGAGGGCCGAUACUCUGAAUGGGUGAGGCUUGGAAUCCUCCCUUUGGAACAAAGAAACAUAAUGAUUUUGCUGAAGGUAGAAUUGGGGGACUAGGCAGAGUGGCCUCCUGCCCUCCCUGGGGUGGUUCUGUCUUUUGCAAAGGUGGCUGCAUCCUUAGGGGAAGGUGAGGGGAGAAGCAGGGAGCAUGGAGAGAAGUGGCUUUCGAUUUUCUCUCUCCUUUUGGGGAGUUCCUCCUUAUGUGGCUGGUCUGGUGCAUAGUGUGAUGUAUUCCUGUACGCAACGUUGCCCUGACAGCCAGUCCAAGCUGAGUCUAGAGCUGGCAAGGUGAGCUCCCAGUAGUAAGAGGGUGUGGGCGGCAAGCCACCCAGGCACCGAGGCAAGAGACAGAGGACACGAGCUGUUCCAGUAUAAUAAAAUAUAAAACAAGAAUAGUUAUACCAGAUAUAGAUCUUAGAUAUGAUUAUAUAUGAAUAUCAUUAAUCAUGAGUUUGCAGCAAUUACUUUUUAUUCCAAUAUUAUGAUAAUCCUCGCUCUAUAAUCAUAGCCUAGGAAAAACCAGGCCAUACAGAGGAGCUGAGGGGACAUAGUGAGGUGUGACCAGAAGACAAGAGUGCGAGGCUUCUGUUAUGCCCGGACAGGGCCACAAGAGGGCUCCUUGGUCUAGCGGUGACGCCAGCGUCUGGGAAGACGCCCGUUACCCGGCGGAUCGUGGCCCAGUGGUAGCAAAAGGUGUCAAGGAACAACACUCACUACUUAGCAGACCGGGAAAGGGGCGGGGGGGGGGUCUCCCUUUCCCCGGGGGAGUUUAGAAAAGACUCUGCUCCUCCACCUCUUGUGGAGGGCCUGACAUCAGUCAGGCUUGCCCGUAGUUAUCCGGAGGCCUAACUGUCUCCCUGUGAUGCUGUGCUUCAGUGGUCACACUCCUUGUCUGCCUUCAUGUUCCAUCCUGUACACCUGGCUCUGCCUUCUAGAUAGCAGUAGUAAAUUAGUGAAAAUACUAAUAGUCCCUGAUAUGCAGAAAUAAUGGUAUAAGCUGUCUUUCUCUCUGUCUCCUCUCCCUCUCUGCCUCGGCUGCCAGGCAGGGAAGGGCCCCCUGUCCAGUGGACACGUGACCCACGUGACCUUACCUAUCAUUGGAGGUGACUCACAUUCUUUACCCUGCCCCUUCUGUCUUGUAUCCGAUAAAUAACAGCGCAGUCAGACAUUCGGGGCCACUACCGGUCUCCGCGCAUUGGUGGUAGUGGUCCCCCGGGCCCAGCUGCCUUUUCUCUUAUCUCUCUGUCUUGUGUCUUUAUUUCUACACUCUCUCAUCGCCACACACAGGGAGAGACCCACCGACCCUGUGGGGCUGGUCCCUACAUCUGGCGCUCUGACGUGGGGCUCUCCCUCGCUGUGUGAAGUUGCACCCUGAGUGCGGGAUCAGCGGAGGAGUUCAACGAGAGAUUCCUGAGGAUUGCAGUCUAUAAACUUGGUGGAAAAGAACUACAGCCUGUGUGGGUCCCCUCCCGACAAUUAAAAUUGCACCAUAACUCCAAAGAUGAAACGCUCCCAGAAAGAAAAGGCAAAGACCCAUCGGAAACAAAAGAGCAACUUUCACCGCCUGAUACAUACACUUCAUGACAUCCACAUUGAGACAAAAUCUCGCCGUGUGACCUACAACACCUCUCGUUCAACCCCACCUACUUGGGGUCGAAUACAGAUUUUAUCUCAUCAAACAGAAAAAUUCUUAACAGAAAAAGGAAUCCCAAAAAUGACUGGUAAUAUAAUUCUGGCUGCCUUUAUGGUAGUCAGUGCAGCGGUAAGUAUACCACCGGUCGGGGCAACUCAAAAUUAUACUUAUUGGGCAUAUGUUCCUUUUCCCCUUCUAAUUCGGUCUGUCUCCUGGAGGGACUCUCCAGUAGAAGUUUACACUAAUAAUAGUGCAUUCAUGCCGAUCCCUAAUGAUGAUCGGUUUCCAGCUCAACCGGAAGAAGAAGGUAUGCACUUUAAUCUGUCAAUUGGCUAUAAAUAUCCACCAUUAUGUAUUGGGAAGUCGCCUGGUUGUUUAGCUUAUUCUUAACAGAAUUGGAUGUGGACUGUACCGUCCUUUACAAAUGAUUCUUAUCAAGUAUAUAAUGUGUUCAGUACUAACUCUUUUCAACUUCUCACUGUCAAACGUACCCCACAUGAGGCAUGGAGAGUUCCUCUCACUACCAAAACUAAUAAAACAAAAGGACUGCCGGACUGUCCAAAGAAACCUACAAAUGGGCCUUUUAUAGUGACUUCAAUUUUAUGGGAUAAUUGUAAUGCUCCCAAGGCUGUUGUACUCCAAACUCUAGCCAUGGGUAUUGUUAUUGAUUGGGCUCCAAAAGGACAUUAUUGGCAAGAUUGCUCCAGCAAAAAUACCUUAUGCUCGGAGUUUAUUUAUUCCUUAGAUUAUAUAGAGCAUGGGUGGCAGUCUUACACGAUGAGACAACGGGUGUCUCCUUACCCAUUUAAAUGGAUGGACACAGGUAUUGCUCCUCCUAGACCAAAAAUUAUUCAUCCCUUUUUUACCCCAGAACAUCCUGAACUAUGGAAAUUAGCUGCAGCUUUGUCGGGAAUAAAGAUAUGGAACACUACCUAUCAGCUCCUUCGUACUAAAACCAAAACACCCACAUUCAACAUCACCCUUAUUUCUGAAUGGGUGAUACCCAUUAGGAGCUGUGUCAAACCCCCUUACAUGCUGUUGGUUGGAAAUAUAAUUAUGAUGCCUGAUGCACAAACUAUAGAAUGUCAUAACUGUAAGCUGUUCACUUGCAUUGAUGCAACUUUUAAUCCCACUACAAGUAUUCUCUUGGUAAGGGCUAGGGAGGGGGUAUGGAUACCAGUUUCUCUACAUCGUCCAUGGGAGUCUUCCCCCUCUAUUCACAUAGUCAAUGAAGUUCUUAAAGACAUCCUCAAAAGAACAAAGAGAUUUAUUUUUACUCUUAUUGCAGUCCUUGCAGGACUACUUGCGGUUACUGCAACAGCAGCAACUGCUGGAGUUGCCAUCCGCAGUUCUGUUCAAACUGCUCACUAUGUUGAAGCAUGCCAGAAAAAUUCCUCCAGACUUUGGAAUUCUCAGGCGCAAAUUGAUCAAAAAUUAGCUAAUCAGAUUAAUGAUCUCCGCCAAAGUGUAACCUGGCUGGGAGAUAGAGUUAUGAACUUGCAACACCGUAUGCAAUUACAGUGUGAUUGGAAUACUUCUGAUUAUUGCAUAACGCCUUAUGCUUAUAAUCAAGAUCAACAUAGCUGGGAAAAUGUCUCAAGACAUUUAAAAGCCUGGGAUGAUAACUUAACCUUGGAUAUUUCACAACUUAAAGAGCAAAUCUUUGAGGCUUCACAAGCCCAUUUAUCCACAGUUCCUGGCUCACACAUUUUUGAAGGCAUAACUAAACAAUUACCUGAUUUUAAUCCCUUCAAAUGGCUCAAACCCGUCAGAGGAUCAUUGUUGUUACUGGCAUUAUUAAUAUUGGUAUGCUUAUGUUGUCUCCUUUUAGUCUGCAGAUGCCUCUAAGGAGUCCGAAACCAAGUCCGAAGUCAACAACAAGCAAUGAUGGCGAUGGCGAUUCUAGUUAAUAAAAAGGGGGGAGAUGUGGGCGGCAAGCCACCCAGGCACCGAGGCAAGAGACAGAGGACACGAGCUGUUCCAGUAUAAUAAAAUAUAAAACAAGAAUAGUUAUACCAGAUAUAGAUCUUAGAUAUGAUUAUAUACGAAUAUCAUUAAUCAUGAGUUUGUAGCAAUUACUUUUUAUUCCAAUAUUAUGAUAAUCCUCGCUCUAUAAUCAUAGCCUAGGAAAAACCAGGCCAUACAGAGAUAGGAGCUGAGGGGACAUAGUGAAGUGUGACCAGAAGACAAGAGUGCGAGCCUUCUGUUAUGCCCGGACAGGGCCACCAGAGGGCUCCUUGGUCUAGCGGUGACGCCAGCGUCUGGGAAGACACCCGUUACCAGGCGGAUCGUGGCCCAGCCGUAGCAAAAGGUGUCAAGGAACACCUUUUGCAAAAGGUGUCAACACCCGCUACUUAGCAGACUGGGAAAGGGGGGCGGUCUCCCUUUCCCCGGGGGAGUUUAGAGAAGACUCUGUUCCUCCACCUCUUGUGGAGGGCCUGACAUCAGUCAGGCUUGCCCGUAGUUAUCCGGAGGCCUAACUGUCUCCCUGUGAUGCUGUGCUUCAGUGGUCACGCUCCUAGUCUGCCUUCAUUUUCCAUCCUGUACACCUGGCUCUGCCUUCUAGAUAGCAGUAGUAAAUUAGUGAAAAUACUAAUAGUCCCUGAUAUGCAGAAAUAAUGGCAUAAGCUGUCUUUCUCUCUGUCUCCUCUCCCUCUCUGCCUCGGCUGCCAGGCAGGGAAGGGCCCCCUGUCCAGUGGACACAUGACCCAUGUGACCUUACCUAUCAUUGGAGGUGACUCACAUUCUUUACCCUGCCCCUUCUGCCUUGUAUCCAAUAACAGCGCAGUCAGACAUUCAGGGCCACUACCGGUCUCCGCACAUUGGUGGUAGUGGUCCCCCGGGCCCAGCUG